CUGAUUUGUUGUGGAUCAUCGAAUAUUCUAAAUUAGCUAGAGUAAGUUUGGAAUUGAACAUGGUGAUGGAAACCAACAGAUUUUCUACAAUUCAGUGAUAGUGAAAAGUAGAUCAAAUAGCUGUAAUUGCUUUCUGCGUUUUGGAUAAAACUCUGGCUUAAGCGCUCCAUUGGACAUUGGAAAUGGUUUUGGAGUACCUCCAUUGACCCUUUUGAGAUCGGUAGAUUGGCCAAGCCCCCGUUUCAAGGGCUCGGUGCCCCCGAGAUGAUGGAUCCACAUCCCCAACCCCCAUCUCCAUCUCCAUCCAUGUGGAUCAUGCGUACUUCGUGCGUUCAGCGAUUGCAGCAAUUUUCACACUCCGAAGGCCACACACAAUUGUCUGAUUAACGCCGAUCCAAGCAAAUCCAAUGUGAAUAUCUGCUUUAGAUGGCGGCGCAUUGUCAACACAGCUGAAAUUUGACCCAUAAAAUUUCCCACAAAAUUAUAGUAAUUUUGCUAACUCAAUUUGAUGAACGCAAAACACAGCGAAGCUGCGAGAUAAAAUUAUAGUAAAAUCCAGCGGCAUUUCCAGGGAAAUGCGGGAAACACUGCAGCUGUGGGAGUCGAUUGCAAAACUAGCCGAAAAUUGUUUGCCGGCAGGCAGGCAGGCAGGCGGUGAAAAGGGAAAAUCGGAGAAAAACCAGCGCAAUUUUCACCAGUAUCCAGUUACCGAACUUCCUCUCCAUCUUCACAACGGUUGAAGAUGCCGCCGCCUCUUCCACUGGACAGUGGCCCAGUGGCGGAGGGGGGUUUUGAUCAAAGGGGACGCAACCGCAUAAUUAUAUAGCCCGCCGAUCUCAGCGGCCAUCAUUGCGGGCGGUGGGCGGUCAAUUGGACGACAGAAAGGGGCCUGCAUCGCAACUCGAAGCUCAUUUUAUAUGGAAAAGCACGGUGGAUCGCACUGGGAACCCAGCGACUUUUACAAACAGCGGGCAUAAUUACUAAUGGGUCUUAACUGGCUACAAAAAUUGUUUCUAUCCCUCAAAGAAACUGAGAGUUUGAGAUGAAAUCAAAACAAAUUAAGAAUUGAGUGUGUGUAUCGCAGAACAAAUCUUGAUUCAAGUACAUUUAAGUAUUAUAAUUAAAUAAAUACUUAAAUCAUUAUAUAGAAAGUUUAAAGGUACCCCGAGGCCUUUGUUCAGUUUAAACACUUAAAAAAAGAGUUACUUUAAGAACAAUCUUUAUAAAACUAAUUUAUGCACAUACAUUGUAUUUAAAUAUUUAUGUAAAGCAUUCCUAAAUUGACUUCCCAACGCCUACGCCCAUAGUAAAAAAAAGUCCAUAAUAUUGCUGAUCACCUCAACUAUGAAAAUGCAUCGGUAGCUUCCUCUGUAAAACAUUUGAUUGCCACUGCCCAAAAUGCAGAAGUUGUAUGCAGCCGUGUUAACAAGCUGCACGAACAACAGCGAUGGGGCAGGCAAUAAGUCAAGUUGAACAAUAAACAUUUUCAUUUUUCAUA